rnacentral:rRNA from 1 species
AAACUUUCAACAACGGAUCUCUUGGUUCUGGCAUCGAUGAAGAACGCAGCGAAAUGCGAUAAGUAAUGUGAAUUGCAGAAUUCAGUGAAUCAUCGAAUCUUUGAACGCACCUUGCGCCCGCCAGUAUUCUGGCGGGCAUGCCUGUUCGAGCGUCAUUU